rnacentral:rRNA from 1 species
GAUCCUGGCUCAGGACGAACGCUGGCGGCGUGCUUAACACAUGCAAGUCGAACGAAGAGCGAUGGAAGCUUGCUUCUAUCAACCUUAGUGGCGAACGGGUGAGUAACGCGUAAUCAACCUGCCCUUCAGAGGGGGACGAACAGUUGGAAACGACUGCUAAUACCGCAUACGAUCCAAUCUCGGCAUCGGGACUGGAUGAAAGGUGGCCUCUAUUUAUAAGCUAUCACUGAAGGAGGGGAUUG